rnacentral:rRNA from 1 species
UACGGAGGGAGCAAGCGUUAUUACGGAAUCACUGGGCGUAAAGGACGCGUAGGCGGGUUGGUAAGUCAGAUGUGAAAUCCUACAGCUCAACUGUAGAACGGCAUUUUGAAACUACCGACCUAAGUAUGGAAGGGCAGAUGAAUAUGGUGUAGGGGUAAAAUCCGUAGAUAUCCUAGGAAUACCGAAAGCGAAGGCGAUCUGCUGGGACAUUACUGACGCUGAGGCGUGAAAGCGUGGGGAGCAAACAGGAUUAGAUACCCUGGUAGUCCACGCCCUAAACGAUGAACACUAGUCGUCGGAGUACACGUUACUUCGGUGAUGCACUUAACAGAUUAAGUGUUCCGCCUGGGGAGUACGGUCGCAAGAUUAAAACUCAAAGGAAUAGACGGGGACCCGCACAAGUGGUGGAGCAUGUGGUUUAAUUCGAAGAUACGCGAAGAACCUUACCUAGCCUUGACAUUGAUAGAAUUCGGUAGAGAUACCGGAGUGCCAGUUUACUGGAGCUUGAAAACAGGUGCUGCACGGCUGUCGUCAGCUCGUGUCGUGAGAUGUUGGGUUAAGUCCCGCAACGAGCGCAACCCUCGUCCUUAGUUGCCAGCAGUUCGGCUGGGCACUCUAGGGAGACUGCCUUCGUAAGGAGGAGGAAGGUGAGGACGACGUCAAGUCAUCAUGGCCCUUACGGCUAGGGCUACACACGUGCUACAAUGGGGCGUACAGAGUGUUGCGAUACCGCGAGGUGGAGCUAAUCACUUAAAGCGUCUCUCAGUUCGGAUUGGAGUCUGCAACUCGACUCCAUGAAGCUGGAAUCACUAGUAAUCGUAGAUCAGCAAUGCUACGGUGAAUACGUUCCCGGGUC